CCUACGGGAGGCUGCAGUGAGGAAUAUUGGUCAAUGGACGAGAGUCUGAACCAGCCAAGUAGCGUGAAGGAUGACUGCCCUAUGGGUUGUAAACUUCUUUUAUAAAGGAAUAAAACGAGGCACGUGUGCCUUUUUGCAUGUACUUUAUGAAUAAGGAUCGGCUAACUACGUGCCAGCAGCCGCGGUAAUACGGAGGAUCCGAGCGUUAUCCGGAUUUAUUGGGUUUAAAGGGAGCGUAGAUGGGUUGUUAAGUCAGUUGUGAAAGUUUGCGGCUCAACCGUAAAAUUGCAAUUGAUACUGGCAGUCUUGAGUACAGUAGAGGUAGGCGGAAUUCGUGGUGUAGCGGUGAAAUGCUUAGAUAUCACGAAGAACCCCGAUUGCGAAGGCAGCCUACUAAACUGUGACUGACAUUGAUGCUCGAAAGUGUGGGGAUCAAACAGGAUUAGAUACCCGUGUAGUC
rnacentral:rRNA from 1 species